rnacentral:rRNA from 1 species
AUUAGAUACCCUGGGUAGUCCACGCCGUAAACGAUGAAUGCUAAGUGUUGGAGGGUUUCCGCCCUUCAGUGCUGCAGCUAACGCAAUAAGCAUUCCGCCUGGGGAGUACGACCGCAAGGUUGAAACUCAAAGGAAUUGACGGGGGCCCGCACAAGCGGUGGAGUAUGUGGUUUAAUUCGAAGCAACGCGAAGAACCUUACCAGGGCUUGACAUCCUGCUAACGAACCAGAGAUGGAUUAGGUGCCCUUCGGGGAAAGCAGAGACAGAUGGUGCAUGGUUGUCGUCAGCUCGUGUCGUGAGAUGUUGGGUUAAGUCCCGCAACGAGCGCAACCCUUAUUGUUAGUUGCCAGCAUUAAGUUGGGCACUCUAGCAAGACUGCCGGUGACAAACCGGAGGAAGGUGGGGAUGACGUCAAAUCAUCAUGCCCCCUAUGACCUGGGCUACACACGUGCUACAAUGGACGGUACAACGAGUCGCAAGACCGCGAGGUUUAGCAAAUCUCUUAAAGCCGUUCUCAGUUCGGAUUGUAGGCUGCAACUCGCCUACAUGAAGUCGGAAUCGCUAGUAAUCGCGGAUCAGCAUGCCGCGGUGAAUACGUUCCCGGGUCUUGUACACACCGCCCGUCACACCAUGGGAGUCAGAAAUGCCCGAAGUCAGUGACCCAACCGAGAGGAGGGAGCUGCCGAAGGUGGAGCUGGUAACUGGGGUGAAGUCGUAACAAGGUACC